rnacentral:misc_RNA from 1 species
GAUGAAGAACGUAGCGAAAUGCGAUACGUAAUGUGAAUUGAAGAAUUCAGUGAAUCAUCGAGUCUUUGAACGCACAUUGCGCCCCCUGGUAUUCCGGGGGGCAUGCCUGUCCGAGCGUCAUUGCUGCCCUCAAGCACGGCUUGUGUGUUGGGCCUCCGUCCUCCUCCCGGGGGACGGGCCCGAAAGGCAGCGGCGGCACCGCGUCCGGUCCUCGAGCGUAUGGGGCUUCGUCACCCGCUCUUGUAGGCCCGGCCGGCGCUUGCCGACACAUCAAUCUUUUUUCCAGGUUGACCUCGGAUCAGGUAGGGAUACCCGCUGAACUUAAGCAUAUCAAUAAGCGGAGGA